CUCACCAAAUGAACCAAACAGAGAUACAGUCACGUGGGUCUCCUGUCUUUCAUGAGCUCACCAAAUGAACCAAGGUCUCCUGUCUUUCAUGAGCUCACCAAAUGAACCAAACAGAGAUACAGUCACGUGGGUCUCCUGUCUUUCAUGAGCUCACCAAAUGAACCAAACAGAGAUACAGUCACGUGGAUCUCCUGUCUUUCAUGAGCUCACCAAAUGAACCAAACAGAGAUACAGUCACGUGGGUCUCCUGUCUUUCAUGAGCUCACCAAAUGAACCAAGGUCUCCUGUCUUUCAUGAGCUCACCAAAUGAACCAAGACAUGAUUGUUC